rnacentral:rRNA from 1 species
CCCUGCCAUUUGUACACACCGCCCGUCGCUCCUACCGAUUUUGAGUGAUCCGGUGAACCUUCUGGACUGUGAACAGGCUUGACCUGAUUGUGGGAAGUUAAGUAAACCUUAUCACUUAGAGGAAGGAG